UACGAAGGGGGCUAGCGUUGCUCGGAAUGACUGGGCGUAAAGGGCGCGUAGGCGGAUGGUACAGUCAGAUGUGAAAUUCCCGGGCUUAACCUGGGGGCUGCAUUUGAUACGUAUUGUCUUGAGUUCGGAAGAGGGUCGUGGAAUUUCCAGUGUAGAGGUGAAAUGCGUAGAGAUGUGGAGGAACACCAGUGGCGAAGGCGGCUUUCUGGUCUGUAACUGACGCUGAGGCGCGAAAGCGUGGGGAGCAAACAGG
rnacentral:rRNA from 1 species